ensembl:snRNA U6 U6 spliceosomal RNA
GUGCUCAAUUUGGCAGUAUGUAUGCUAAGUUAGAAUGAUACAGAGAAGAUUAGCAUGGCCUCUGUGCAAGAAUGACAUGCACAUUCAGAAAGCAUCCCAUAUUUAG